rnacentral:rRNA from 1 species
UACGUAGGGUGCGAGCGUUGUCCGGAAUUACUGGGCGUAAAGAGCUCGUAGGUGGUUUGUCGCGUUGUCCGUGAAAACUCACAGCUUAACUGUGGGCGUGCGGGCGAUACGGGCAGACUGGAGUACUGCAGGGGAGACUGGAAUUCCUGGUGUAGCGGUGAAAUGCGUAGAUAUCUGGAGGAACACCGGUGGCGAAGGCGGCAUCCUGGACCAACACUGACGCUGAUGAGCGAAAGCCAGGGGAGCAAACGGG